GAUGAAGAACGUAGCGAAAUGCGAUAAGUAAUGUGAAUUGCAGAAUUCAGUGAAUCAUCGAAUCUUUGAACGCACAUUGCGCCCGUCAGUAUUCUGGCGGGCAUGCCUGUUCGAGCGUCAUUACGCCCCUCAAGUCCCCUGUGGACUUGGUGUUGGGGAUCGGCGAGGCUGGUUUUCCAGCACAGCCGUCCCUUAAAUUAAUUGGCGGUCUCGCCGUGGCCCUCCUCUGCGCAGUAGUAAAACACUCGCAACAGGAGCCCGGCGCGGUCCACUGCCGUAAAACCCCCCAACUUUUUAUAGUUGACCUCGAAUCAGGUAGGAUUACCCGCUGAACUUAAGCAUAUCAAUAAGCGGAGGA
rnacentral:misc_RNA from 1 species